GCGCUUGUAGUAUAGUGGUCAGUAUAUUUCGCUUCCAACGAAAUGACCUGGGUUCGAAUCCCGGCAAGCGCA